rnacentral:lncRNA from 1 species
AUAUAUAUAUAUAUGUAUGUAUAUAUGUGUAUGUAUGUAUAUAGAUAUAUGUAUGUAUGUAUAUAUACAUUAAGAUUAUACAUGUGUGUGUGUUUGUCAUAUGCAGAUAAGGUUAUAUAUUCAGUUGUAAAUGGUUUGUGUAAUCAUGAAAUAACAAUCUUGUUUACCUUCGGUAUGAGACAUAUAUACACCACCCUCUACAUACUGCUAACACCGGUGUUUACUGAAUAUCACACACACACACACAUACACACAAAUGCAGAAAGAUAACAUGUGGGGGUGAAUGCUACAGUUUAGGUCUAAAGAACCUGGACAUUUCCUGGUAGCAUUAGUAAUGCUUGGCACUGCUGCAGGAGUGAUUGCCGUCAGAAGGUACCGGAACAAUAUUGAUGUUUCCAAUCAGCAUCUGAUGAAGAAAACAUCCUACAGGGCAAGCUCGAUGUUAGAACCUUUAUCGUCUCUGUGCUGACCAGACUAUCAGUUGUUAUACGUCCGCUGGCCGGUCAUCAUGUACUUCUUUUGCAUUGAUGCAGCUUUUGAAUGACCACCCCACUCUGCCGGCUUGGCAGGAAGGCAGGCCAGGCCAACAUUCCGCUUGAAUGAAACGCCAGUCUGUCACAGAGGGUCCCCAUUUACUGUUGAGUGGGCUGGAGCAGUGUAGAAUGAAGUGUCUUGUUCAAGAACACAGUGCACCACCAAUCAGGGAAUUGAAAUCACAACUUUUGCUUAUGAGCACAAUACCUUAAUUACAAGGCCACACACACACACACACACAUGUACAUACACACAUGCUACAUAAAUUCCGAAGAAUUUUCCAGCAUGUAAUUCAAACCGACACAUCACUUGUUCUGUAUUUUGAAAUUUCUAAACAUUUCUCCUUCAGUCGGUCCUUAUCAUUUUAAGGUUUAACCCUUUAGCAUUUAAGCCAGCCAUAUCCGGUCCAAAUAUUCUCUAGUCAAUCAACCACAUCAAAAUAUCAAAGCUUUAAGUGCUUUGUUAAUUCAAAUCGAAGUGAAUAAAUAAGCAUUACUUCUGAUAAUCUGGAUGCUGAAGGAUUAAACUUAAUCAUUAAGGAGCACAUUUCGUAUUUUAUAUAUGUGUCUGUCUGUCAUCUAACGAGACUAAACUUCUAUAGUUGACACAAUACCAUCUUAUCCAGUCUUCUAAGCAAUUGUCUGAGAUACCUUAGACAUCAGUUUGUUUAGGCAUACUUUGCUAUAUGGAUACGGAUACUCACUGGAUCAUAAACUAUUAUACACCGUACAUUUAAGAAUAAAAUGGUUUAAACCAAUUCCAUUCAUCAUACGCUAAUUAUAGAGAUAGGAAUUAACAGGUAGAGAAGAAAAUAUAUAAGAAAUUUUAAAAAAUGAAAACCGAGAGGGGUGAGUCCCUUGGGUGGAAAUAUGUCUGUGACAAAACAGAGGUGAAUAUAAAGUGGAAAAAUGUCUUUAUUAGAGGUUAGAUGCAAAAACAAGAACAAAAUAACAAAAAAAGUAACAAAAAAACCCCAACAACAAUAGAAUAUAACACAAAAACACUCCUUCCUCCCCACAGAAAACAAAAGAUUGUCACUCACAGCUUGCUUUAGUUGUUUUAAACCCUAGUAAAAACCUGAUUUUUUUUUUCUUAAUUUUUUUCCCUUUCCUUUUUUAACCUCCAUUUUAUGAAAGAUAAAAUUAUCAUGUACAUAUAUAUAUGUAUAUACAUGUGUGUGUAUUUAUAUAUAUGUAUAUAUACAUAUACACACACACAUAUAUAUAUAUAUAUACGUGUGUGUGUGUAUAUAUAUAUGAAACAACUUUUUCUCUUCUUCAAUUUUUAUAUUUGAAAAAAUAUAAAUUAAACAACAACAGUAAGUCAUUUGUGAGUGUUUAAUUCGUUAGGGACCCAGAAAUGUUCAACCCCCAUAAACAUAAAUGGGUUAUUUUUUUUUUGAUUUUUCUUCACAACUUUAAUGUUAAUAAUAAUAAUAAUAACAACAAUAACAAGAAUCAACAAGAAACCCCCUAAUUACAAAGUGAAAAGUACAAACUCAUUGAGGGAUUUAGGGGAUUAAUAAAAUCCAGAAAACACAAGGUAUUAAAAAUAAUAAAAAAAAGAUCAUGAAAGAAUUAGUGGGCAAGUUGAUUAAGAAAUGAAAUUUUAAUGACUUUUCUUAAUUAGGUGCCUACCAAGAUGAUAAUUUGGUUGUUUUAUACCAUUGGCACAGGGAGGACCUCAAAAUUUUUGUAAUAGUUGAUUAAAUCAACCCCGGUAUAUGACAGGUAUUUUCUCAACUCCUGAAAGAAUGAAAGGCAAUGCCAACUGCAACAGGAUUUAAACUCAGUGUAAAUAAAGAAGGGAUGUGAGUAAAUACCACAAGGCAUUUUUGUCUGAUGCUCUACCGACUACCAAUAAUAAUAAUUUUGAAUUUUCCACAAGGGGGCACAGAUGUUUAAAGAAGAGGGGCAGUCAAUAUACUUGAGUAUAUUGACUGCCCCAGCUUGGGAAUUAAGUAAAGAAGGGAUUUAACUAAACACCACCAGGUAUUUUGUCCAAUGCUCAACCAAUCGACUCCCCUGUCAAUAACGAUUUCAAAUUUUGCCAACCCCAGUAUUUCACUGGUACUUGUUUUAUUAACCCCAAAAGGAUGAAAGUCAGUCGUGCUAACGAUUCUGCUAGCUCGCUGCUUUUACCCUGUCAGUAACGAUAAUUGUUUAUAAUAGAGGCACAAAGCCAAAAAUGUGAGGAGAUGCAUUAUUAGUCAAAUAAAUUGACCCUAGUACUUUGCUGGUACAAAAUGCUAUUGGCUCCAGAAGUACAAAUAGUAAAAUAGUCAUUGGUGAGAUUUGAAAUUGGGGAUUUUAAGAACCAGAACUAAACACUGCAAGGUAUUUCGUCUGAUACCCUAAUGAGUCUCCCAAAACCAUUGUCCUUAAUAAUCUUUUCUACGACAGGGACAAGGACUCGGGGAGUGGGGGGUAGUAGACUGCAUUGACCCUUGACCCAGUGUAAUCAACAGGUACCUGUUUCACUGGCCCUGAAAGGAUGAAAGGCAAAGUCGACCUCCGCAGAAUUUAGACUCAGAACAUACAACUGGAAGAAAUACUUGCUAUUUUGUCUGCUGUGCUAACCAUUCUGCCAGCUCGCUGCCUUAAUAAUGAUGAUAAUAAUAAUGAUCCUUUCUACUAUAGGCACAAGGCCUGAAAUUUUGGGGCAUGGGACCUAGUCGAUUACAUCAACCCCAGUACCUCAGUGGUACUUAUUUUAUCAACCCCGAAAAGAUGAAAGGCAAAGUCGACCUUGGCAGAAUUUGAACUCAGAAUGUGAAGACAGAUGAAAGCAUUUUUCCCAGUGUGCUAAUGAUUCUGCAAAGCUCACCACCUCAGUAAUAACCCUUUCUACUAAUAGGUGCCAGGGAGUUGGGGGUUAUUGAUCACAUUGGCCUCAGCACAGAACUGGUAUUUUAUUUUGCCACCCCUGAAGGGAUGAACGACAAAGUUGGAUAUAAAGAGCUGGAACAAAUACCUCAGGGCAUUUUAUGUUUUUUUACAAGUGAUUCUGUCAGUCCACCACCUUAGUAUAUAAUAAUAAUAAUAACAAUAAUAACAAUAAUAAUAAUAACAAUGAUAAUAAUAAUAAUAAUAAUAAUAAUAAUAAUAAUGGUUUCAAAUUUUGGCACAAAGCCAGCAAGUUCAGGGGAGGGUGUAAGUCGAUUGCAUCGACCCCAGUAUGCAACUGGUACUUAUUUCAUCGAUCCCGAAAGGAUGAAAGGCAAAGUCGACCUCGGCGGAAUUUGAAAUAAUAAAUUCUAAUGGUUUCUUAGAAAGGUAUGAAGUUGGACAUUGUUUAAGAGUGAGAGGUGGUGGGGUGGGGGAAACGGUUAAGUUGUGACAGUCAUGCCUCCUUAGGGGGCAUCUGCAACCUAAAUGAAGUAGAUUAGUACAAAAUAAGUGCUGAAGAAUCUUGUGAUGGUGGUAGGGAUUUAGCUAACCUUUGCACUACAGUGCUUCUACAAUAAUAAUAAUAACAGUAACAACAAUAAUAAUAAUAAUAACAAUAAUAAUAAUAAUGAUAACAAUAAUAAUGUCUCUACUGAGGCAAGAAGCCGUUAAGAUAUUUGGAGAAGAAUAUAAAGAGAUUAUAUACAUUCAUUGUAGAAAACUGUAAAAAAGUUUGUUCAUUUAUUUAUUUAUUUAUUUAUUUAUAUUUGUGUGUGUAUGUGAGUGUGUGUAUAUAUAUAUUAUUUAUAUCUCACGGUAGUCUUUAAAUAUCAAACGAGGUACCGUGAGAUAUGUUUACAGUGAUAAGCUACCCAGCAAUGUCCUUCCACCCCGCCUGUUUCUUAAUGUGAUUUUUAUAUUUAGGUAACUUCACUUUCUCGUAUUAUGUAUUAUCUGUAUACGCAGCAGCUAUAUACAUACAUACACACACACACACACACACAUAUAUAUAUUCAUUAAUCUCAUUUCUCCCUAUAGCUUUAUGAAAUGAAUAUAUAUAUAUAUGUGCAUAUAUAUAUAUAUACAUGUAUGUAUGCAUAUGUAUAUAUACAUACAUGUUUGUAUGUGUAUGUAUAUAUGUACAUACAUGCAUAUAUAUAUUGUUGAUGUCAUGAGAAUUUAGAAACUUCAAGAAUGUGAAACAAUCCUUUUUAGGAACGGUGAAUCUCGAAGCAGAUGAAGCUAUAACAACAGCAUGUGAAUAUUGGGUUAAAAUGCUGACUUCAUUCUAAUAUUUACACUCUAUUAUGUAUAGCUUUAUUUGCUUCAAGUUUCACCAUUCCUAAAAGGAAUCACACACAUAUUUGGAGUAAAGAAGUGUGUUCCCAUGCAAGAAAGAAUAAAGGAGAAUUUGUUUCGGGGUCCGAAAAUGUACCUGAAUCUCAAAACAUGUAGUUGCUUAAAAAUCUUGCAACAGAUUUGCCAAAACCUCAAACCGGCCUUGACAAUCUCUUGCCGUGGGGAACGGAAAAUCCUGCAUUUCGGACAGAGUCCUUAAUCAGAGAAAAGUUGACAAGAAUGAAAUUAAAGGAAAACAGGAGAAUUUUACAUCCUCUAAGUUUGGUGUUUUGGUGAAUCUGUUGCAAAAUUUAGCAACAACUGCACGUUUUUAAAUUUGGGGUGCAUUUUUGGACCCCGAAACAAAUUCUCAUACAUACAUACAUAUAUAUAUAGAGAGAGAGAGUAGCAAAGUUCUUAAGAUUGGCUUUGAAAAGGAAACAAAGCUUAAAAUUUUUAAGCUUAUACACCUUUGCUGUCAAUAUUCUAUUAUUAAUUAAUAUUCCAUUAUUAAUUAAUUCAUUUUAGUUUUGUUGUUAUACAGGGCUGCCCGUAGCCCUCUUAAAUAGUCUUUACCUCUACCUAACUUAGAAAAAGCAAGUCCCAAAAUUAAUUCUUUUUGUUUUUUUCGCUUUUGUUUAAUUAAUAAGUUCCGUAACAGAAUUUAGAAAAUAAAAUUAUAAUCCAAAAGAUAAUCUGAUAUGCCGCCCAUCCAGUGAUAUGUUGUCUUGGAGUCUCUUCACACAGCUUGAUGAGGAAAUUGCUAUCUACCCUCCCUUAUGCACUGUGUAGAGGAGAAAUGAUAGGGUCACACAACUCAAAACCCCAGUGUAUGUGUAUAUAUUGGAAGUGUGCAUAUUAAGGGUAUAUAUGUGUGUGUAUAUAUAAAACAUAUUUUAACGUGUAUAAGGAAUCCUUCUUUUGUCAAAAAUUAGGUUAAAAAAAUAUGGGAGUUUCUUAAACAUGAAUAGUAUUAUGAUCUUUCACAGAGCCUUUUUUCCAUAUUUUAAGCCCCCAAAAUUAAGGGGUUCCUUAUACACAUUAAAAUAUGGUGUGUGUAUAUAUAUUGGGGGAAAACACAUCCAUUACUUCUUCAUUUUCUCCCCCCAUCCCCCAAUAUUGAUAAUUUCAAUAAUCCCUAACAUACACCAAUGACUUUCGCAUUCUAUGAUAGGGAUUAAACCAGUGGAAUACCUUGGAUUAUAUAAUCCCUCAUGAGGAUAUAACUUCCUCAAAUUAACUAUAUAUUCCUGUCAGUCAUUGGACUGUGGCCAUGCUGGGGCACCGGUUUGAAGCAUUUCAGCCGAACAAAUCAACCACAAUAUUUUUUUUUUUAAAGUUUGCAACUUAUUCUAUAGGUCUCUUUUGGUGAACUGCUAAGUUAUGGGAACAUAAACAAAGCAACACUGGUUGUCAAGCUGUAGCACAGUACACGCAGACACAGACAUGCUUACAGACACAUAUAUACAUGUGUGUGUGUGUGUCCACAUCAUGACAGCAUGGACAAUGAACAUUAAAUGAUGAUGGUAAUGAUAUAUAUAUAUAUAUAGAUAGAUAGAUAGAUAGGAUGGGCUCCCUCACAGUUUCCCCUCAACCAAAUUCUCUCAAGUCAUUGGUUGGUUGAAGACUCUUGCCCAAAGUGUUGCACAAUAUGUAUUGCAGCAGCAAGGGAAAGAUGCAUGCACAUGUGCAGCAUACCCAGUUUUUGCACCAUUGAUUUUAUGAAGACAAGUGGUUGGGAGGGGGAGUUGUUGUAGCUACUUGACCCCGGGAUAUAACUGGUACAGGUUUGCAAGUAUAUAAUGUGUUAUGCUACAGAUAUAUAAGAAAGCAUUAUAUUUGUUUUGAAUUUAGGUAUGCGGUCAAACUUUUGAGGGGAGGGGGCUAGUCAACUCCAAUGACCCCAGCACUUGGCAUGUACUUUUUAUUUUACUGACUCCAAAAGUUGACCUGAGUGGGGUUUGAUCUCUGAAUCUACAGAACUGAAAGUAAAUACCACAAGGGAUUUUGCCUAAUAGCUCUAGUAGUUCUGCUGAGGGCCAGCAGUUUUAAGCGGUGAGUGAAGUCAACUACAUCAACCCCUGUUCUAAACUGGUACAUCUCUUUUCAACCUUAGAGAGAUGAAAGGAAAAUCAGAUCUCGGUGGAAUUUGAACUGAGAAUGGCAAGCUGGAAGAAAUGGUGCUAAGCAUUUCAUCUGACACAGUAAUGACUCUACCAGCUGGCCACCUUAAUAAUAAUAAUAAUAAUAAUAAUAAUAAUAAUCGUUACUACUAUAGGCACAAGGUCUAAAAAUUUGGGGGAGGAGGAUAGUCAAUUACAUUGACCCCAGUAUUCAACUGGUACUCAAUUUAUCGACCCCGAAAGGAUGAGAGGUAAAGUCAACCUUGGCAGAAUUUGAACUCAGAACAUAGUGACAAGUGAAUAUAGCUAAACAUUUUGUCCAGUGUGCUAACAAUUCUGCCAGCUCACCACCACAUAAUAAUAAUAAUAACAACAACAACAACAAUCCUUUCUACUAUAGGCACGAAGCCUGAAAUUUUGGUGAAGUGAGUCUAGUUGCUUACAAUGACCCCAGGGCUCAAAUGGUACUUAUUUUAUUGAUCCUGAUCGGAUGAAAGGCAAAAUCGACCUUGGCAGAAUUUGAACUCAGAACCCCCAAAAAAUCAGAUGGAAUGCUGAUACAAAAGGUUCUGCUAGCUUGCUGCCCUAAUAAGCACUGAAAUUUGCAGACGAUUCAUAGUGCUGAGCUUAUUCAUCCCCUCCCCUCAACAACCCCAAAGGAAGAAGGGCCCAAUGAUACACCGGGACCCUAUCUUGUCAGGGAUAUAUUUUAUAGUUAAUGCUACAGAGAAAGGGAGAUGAGUGCUGGCUUCAUGAAUCCUUGUGGGGUUGCUUGUAAUAAAUUGUUGCUCUGGCAAUAAUGUCUGCUUUUCCAUGCUUGCAUGGGUUGAACAGAGUUCAAGGCAGAGUCUAAUACGUCCCCAUGGCCAACUUUUAUUUUCUGUCUUUUUGGUAGAAGAUUGAAAGAUCAAUCACACUACUAGUAUGACACAUUGAUACUUAUGACAACUGUCACAUGUCCAGACAAAGGAGACACACAUAUAUAUAUCAUCAUCAUUAUCGUUUAAUGUCCACUUUCCAAGCUAGCAUGGGUUGCACGAUUUGACUGAGGUCUGGCGAACCAGAUGGCUGCACUAGACUCCAAUCUGAUCUGGCAGAGUUUCUACAGCUGGAUGCCCUUCCUAACGCCAUAUAUACAUACAUACAUACAUGUGUACAUAUACACAUACAUGUUCAUCCUUAUGCUUUGUGCUGAUUUUUAAUAUAUAAAUGUACAUACAUAUAUAUAUAUAUAUAUAUAAUAUAAAUGUACAUAUAUAUAUGUGUAUAAUAUGUACAAAUAUAUAUAUAUAGGGGUCUUCCCUUAGGCAGGUCCUGUGCAUGUGCACCUUCUCCAGCACUCUCUCUACAAACUGGGAGAGGGUCUGCACCCUCCCCUACCACCUUUAAAUAGAUUUCUGGAACUUUGGCUACCACGACUAGACUUGGGAUGAAUACCAUAGUGGUUUACUGUUGCCUUCUACAGGCAGGUGGGAUUUGAACUCGGAAUGUAGAGAGCCGGGAGAUAUACCGUGAAGUAUUUCUGCUCACGUGCCAACAAUUCUGUCACCCACAAAGCAGUGUAAAGUGAACCAUUUAGCUCAAGAACACAGCACGUUGCCUGAUCUGGGAAUAGAACCCAUGAUCUAGCAAGCUUGAGUCCAACACCCUAACAAGCCAUGCGCCUUUACUGUGUGUGUGUGUAUGUAUGUAUACACAUAUGUACAUGUGUUUGUAAUAUAUGUCUUGUAUGUAUAUUACACAUACAUACAAGGAGCACAAAUUUUAUGGACCCCUCCUGAUUUGAAAGAAGGGAACAAAGAAAAAAUAAAUGGAUAUAGUCAGACUCAAAACUAGUAUGUGGUCCUUGUUUUAUUAUCCACUUUUCCAUGAUUUCUCUCUCUCGCUCACACACACACACACACAGACAACAUACUUUUGAUGUCUACUUUUCUAUGCUUGCUUGGAUAGAAUUUGUAGAGGCAGAUUUUCAACAGCUGGAUGCCCUUCCUGUUGCCAACCUUCAAUCAUUUCCAAGUAAGGUAAUAUUUUCACAUAGCUUGACAUGUUUCUAUGGAAAUGAAGGAAACCAUUUGUGUGAUGGUAACAAUCAUUUGCAACUAUUGUGCAAUGUCAAAAUAAGAAGAAAUAAACACCUACAUAUAUAUGUAUGUAUGUAUAUACAUUUGUGUGUCCGUGGAUAUUGAUAUAUAUACAGGUUUCUUUCAGUUUUUGUCUGUUAAAACCAUUCUUAAGGCAUUGGUUAGCCUGAGGCUAUAGAAGACAGGUGCCCAAGGUGCCAUGCAGCCAGACAAGCUGAAAACACAUACAAUCCUGUUUCCUUUCCACUAUAGAAACCUGAGAGAAAAGGAGCACAAAUUUUGUGGACCCCUCCUGAUUUGAAAGAAGGGAACAAAGAAAAAAUUUACUCCAAUUUAUAAAAUAAGUGUAUGACAAACUAGAAUCACAGCAUAUGGGUGACAGUGACAUCUAUUUUGUAAUAGGCUCUAAACCUUUUUUUUUUUUUUUUACAUUAUGUUGGGGGCAGAGAUGGGUUCAGAACAAGGGGGAAGGGUCUGACAUUUUUAUCUUAAUGUUUGGAGCUGAGAUGAAUUUCGAAAACGAAUGCCAACCAUUUCGCUUUGUUUUUUUUAUAUGCAGAUUUGAAAAUGCUGCGUGAGACAAUGGGUGUUUUAUAAUAUUUGCUAAACCAUGCAGAUUUUAAUAGGGAGUAAAAUGUUUACAUCUGCGAUCCAGCAAUUUGACACUGGCCAAAUGGUCCAAAGGUCAAAAGGUCAGGACUGGCAGCCGUCUGUGUUGGAAUACAGAAUAUGGAGAGGAUUGUGCAGCUAUUAUUGUUGGGUUACAACUUACAACUAGUUAUUGUUGUCUUGGUAAUUCUUUCUGCUAUAGGUACGAAGCCUGAAAUUUCAUGGGGGGGAUCUAGUUGAUUACAUCAACCCCCAGUGCUCAACUGUUACUUAUUUGAUUGACCCCGAAAGGGUAAAAGGUAAAGUUGACUUCAGUGAAAUUUGAACUCAGAACGACCAGAAUGCUGCUAAGUAUUUUGUCCCUUCUGCUAACAAUGCUGCCAGAUCACUGCCUUUAAUAAUAAUAAUAAUCCUUUUUACUAUCAGCACAAAGCCUAAAAUUUUAAGGGAAGGAGCUAGUCAAUUACAUAGUCCCCAGUUCCCAGGUAGUACUUAUAUCAUUGACUCCAAAAGAAUGAAAGGCUAAGUUCACCUUGGCAGAAUUUAAAUUUAGAACAUAAAGCUGGUAGAGAUGCUGCUAGGCAUCUUGUCCAGUUGGCUUAUGAUUCUACUACCUUCAUAUCCUCUCAAUAGUAAUUGCAGGUGUAGACGUGGCCAUGUGGUUAAACAAUUUGCUUUCCAACCAUAUAGUUUCGGGUUCAGUCCCACUGAGUGGCACAUAGUGCAAGUGUCUCCUUGUAUAGCUCCAGAUCAACCCAAAACAUUGGGUGUGGAUGUGGUAGGUGGAAACUGAAAGAAGCCUGUUGUGUGCAUGUGUGUAUGCAUUUGCUUGUUUUUUUUGUCUUGACCUCAUGCAACAGUUGUAAAUGUGUGUCACCAGUGAAGGACACCAAAUGGUGUCCUUUGCUUCCAAUCUUCUAUGAAGUGCAUGUCUAGCUAAGAGGAAAUAUUACCUUGCCUGGAAACAGGUAAGGGUUGGCAACUGCAAGGGCAUCCAGCUGUAGAAAUGUCUCAAUGAAUUCUGUUUAACCCAUACAAGUAUGGAAAAGUAGACAUUAGAACAUGAUUAUAUAUAUAUAUAUGUAUGUAUGUGUGUGUGUAUGUAUGACCAUCAUCCUUUAACAUCUGUUUUCCACACGGGCAUGUAUGUAUAUAUGCAUGUGUAUGUAUAUAUACAUAGAGGCCAUCACUUGGUAAUGUCUUCACUAAUUAUUUUAGGAUCAUAUAUAGUUGCGAGCGGAGAGGCAUCUUUUUGGCUCUGCCAGCCUUGAUCCAGCUGAAUAUUUAGAAUGAGACAACUAGAGGGAGCGAGAGAGACCACUGUAUCAGCAUUAGGUCAGGUUGGUACCUAUUACAGCUGAGUAGACUGGUGCAACAUGAAAUGAAAAUGCCUUGCUUAAUUAAGGAUACAACACUGCUCAGUCCAGGAAUUGAACUCCCUAUCUUUAGAUCAUGAACCUAAUACCCUAACCACAUCAUUUAUAUAUUACACACACACUACAGAUAUAUACACAUGACACUAAGAGGUAUCAUUGAGACAGAGAAGUGACAGAAAAGAGAAGUGUGUGUGUAUAUAUAUAUAUAUAUAUAUAUCAUAUAGGAGUGUGUUAGUGUGUGUGUGUAUGGGGCAAGGAUAUAUAAACUAAUAUAAAUAGGGGAAAGGUCCAUCCCCCUUCCUCUCUCUCUCAGAUCACCCUCUUCACUUGUUAAUAACGUGUAUAGAAAGGUGGUGCAAAAAAAUAAUUUUAGGAGCAAGAUGAAACCGGUGUGGAAAGAAUGGGAGGGAGUGACUUUCAUGCUGUUUCUUUUGUUAUUUUUUUUUAUUGUUUGAGAGUACUUGCAAAAAUAUUUUAAACUAAAGUUAGAAGAUAUACUGUAGGACUGGCCCGCAGUAAAUGUACCAGUGUGUGUGUAUACACACACUGUAGUAUGUAUGUACAUCCCUGCAGGAGACCUACCAUGAUGGGUAUAUAUUCACACAAGCCUUGGCCAACAGGAGACCUUUCAUAAUGGGUGUGUGUGUGUGUGUAUACAUAUAUACUGCAGUCUUGGCCAGCAGGAAAUCUACAGCUGUUCCACAUUAUGUUUAUACACACUGCAGUAUAUAUAUAUAUAUAUAUAUAUAUAUAUAUAUAUAUAUAUAUAUAUACACACAGUUCUGCAGGAGAACUACUGCUGUACCACACUGGUACCAGACCAUUAUGAUAUGUGUCUGUGUGUGCACAUAAACACACCACAGUGGUUGACUUUCUCCCAAAAAGUUAAAGAUAUAUUUCAGGAGAAAGGGAAUUAGGUUUGAUCAUCGUGCCUUUCUCAGGGACAUAAUAUAAGCUAAAAGUGGAGUGAGUACUACAGCAGAGUAUCAAAAGUGGGUCUCGAGUUCUUCUUAGAGUACUUUGUUCUUAUAACAAUGAGAAAAGCAGUAACAAAAAAGGUCGGACGGAAUAGUUAUUCAAUCAAUCACACUGGCUCAAACUCAGAGUACCCUAGUUAUUUAAUUAAUCACAUUGAUGCAAACUCGGAGUAGCCUACACGGAUGUCUCACAUUGAUGCAAACUCGGAGUAGCCUACACGGAUGUCUUGAAGUUGAUGUUUAUUGAAAGUUAACGGUGAAAGGGCAACCAGCAUUCUAACAUGUGUAACAGGAGUUUAGUGACUGCAUGUCCGUGAAAGAGGGGGAGAGAGAGAGAGUGUGUGUGUGUGUGUGUGUGUGUUGGUGUUUGUGAGAGAGAAAGAAGAGGUUUGUUAAGCAUUAUAUUUUUCAAAUGAGCAACUUUGGCACUCCUUUAAAACUAAAAUGGGAGUCUCUAAAGUUAUGGGAGGGAAGGACGACAACGAUGGUGGUGUCUGUAACUCCACUAGACACACACUUUGGAUUUAAAUCUCUACAGUAAACAUGGAGGGUGAAUUUGGAGUAAGGGGUAAGGAGUGGGGGGGGGAGAUAGAUAAUGAGAGGUGCCCCACCCUCAUCUCACCUGUUUCCAGGUAUGUGGAUCAAAUCCAACAAUAACCAAAAAUUUAAAGUUUAGCUCUAGCUCCCUAUCUUCACUAAAAUAUAGUUAAAAAGAAAAGGAAAAAAAUUUUAUUUUUUUUUUGUGGGGUGAGGUGAUGGUGGGAUUGUAGAUAUUCAAUGACAUUGACCUUGGUACUUUGCUAGUGCUUUACAUUAUCAACUCCUCAGAAGAAUGAAAGGUAAAGUAGACCUUGGUUGGAUUUGAACUUGGAACAUAAAAGUCCAUAACUAAAUAUUGUAUUUUGUCCAUUGCUAGAAUGUCCCUUACAUCAUCCUACACUCUCAUAAUAAUAAUAAUAAUAAUAAUAAGGAUUUCAAAUUUUGGCUGGUGUGUACUAAUGAUAAUGGCAGCUAAGUUUUGAGGGGAGGGGCUAGUCAUUAUUAUUGACCUCAAUACAUAACCGGUACUUUUAUCAAAUUUCAAAAUGACAACAGGCAAAGUUGACCUUUGAUGGUCAGUCUGAUCUCUACAUUGUUAGAAAUAGAGAUUUUUGACUCAAUGCCACAAAGCCAUGCUUCGUUUUUCUUUUUAGCCUUUUCACUGCAAAAUUAAAUUUCCUUGUUAUUCUACUAAUGAUGUUUAAUAUCUAUAAAAAAAUUUUUAAAAUUCUGCAAGUCAUGUUGCCACAGCAAUAAACUUCAUGUCUUCACAAGAAAUCGUUUCAAACACGACAUUCCUCGACAAAAGAUAGAUUGAUAUAUAAAACUGCUUUUGUCGGUCAGAGAUAAUGUAAUUCUGAGAGGACAUAUCUGAUUUCCACAGCAAAAGGAUUAACCAAUGCUGGCAGCAACAAUGAGGAUGAUUACGCUAAUGAAGUUAAUUAAGACAUUGAUGACAUUCUUUAUUCUCUUUAUGUAGUAAUUAAUUUUAACCCUUUUACAGUGAAAUUAAAUUUCAUGGUUAUUUCCAGUCCUGAUAUUAAACAUCUACCAGCAAAAUAGAAUUGAUAUUUUGGCAAGUUGUGGUGCCUGAAACUUGGCAAAUCUAAACAAGAAACAUGGCAUUUCUCAACAAAAGGUUUAUAUAGAACUGCUUUCCUCAGUUUGAGGGAAUGAAAUUUUGAAUGGACAUGCAGGAUUUCAGCAGUAAAGGGGUUAAGGUAGGGAUGUAGCUGCAUCUUGGCACACAUUGUGUUGUGCCAAUUCUGCCUGAGAAUUACAUUAAGGAUCCACAUGCCUGUGGAGUACUCAACCACAUGAAUGUUAAUUACGAAGCAGGUAAUUUGGUUGAGCGCACAAUUGAAUCCUUAUAGUCAAACAGAGGGAGUACUGUCCAUAGCUGCAAUUAUAGUGACUGUAACAUGGUAUGGUACUCACAUCAGUGGCAGGCUUAGAAGGGGGGAGUAAGUUGCCCCUUCCGCCUAUAGACUGGGGUGGUACCUUAAGCAAAUUCUAGCAGCCCCUAAACCUCAUGAGCCAGGGAUACAGUGAAAAUGUUGGAUAAUCAAGUUGGAGGAGUCCCACACCAUUGGCUGAAAGGUACCAUCAGCCGACUGUUGGGUGCUGACCAAAGUGAGCUGCUAUUGCACAGCAACCUUGUCUUUAACUAUGUUUGGUACAUUCUUGUACACCUCUUGGUAUUUGGCAUAAGUUCUGAGAGAGAGGCAGUCUGGUGGUGGGGAUGGCACCAAUUGCCUUACUCACCAACCAAAGGCAUUUUGUUCAGAGAACUGAGCAUUCAGUGUUAACUAUGACAGACAGCUGCCACUGCCGACUACGACGGACAAGACAGUUUCAUUUUAUUGAUAAAGGGCAUGAUAUUGAUGAGAUGUAACUACAGAACAUAAGGGGACAUGGACCUAACUAGAACAUUGCAAGGAAACCUGUUUUCUGCUAACUCUACAACAAAAAUAAUCAUUUCUAAUAUAAGAUACAAGGUCACAUGUUCCAGGAGGUGAUGCGGUAGAGAGUUAAGUCAACCCCCCACUUCAUCAUCACCUAGCACUUUACUUUUCAUCCUCUUUGCAUUUUUGUUGUUGAUAAUAUAAAGUCGAUCCUAUAAGAAUUUCACUGACCCCGCCUCCCAGCCCCACCCCCAAGGAUAUAAACUACUGUUUUAGAUAACCCCGUUCAACAAAAACGGCUUCAUUGUCCCACUGCAUCUAUUUAUUAACGCUGAGAGGAGGGAAAAUUUUGAAACGCAUUUGUUCAAUAAAAAUAUGGUGUGUGUGCAUGCAUGGAGGUUUGCACCACACGUGCUGAAAAUUAGAACAAAAACCCAGUAACAUUAAUGCAAUAUAAGGGCCACUACAUGAAGGGCCUGUAAAGAUUGUGUGACAAAAUCGUUUUCACUGUACAUAGUAAAUAUAGAUUGGUUGCUGACAGGAUUUGUCUUUUUUUUCUCAAACUGAAGAUUAAUUCUAAAUAACAGUGGUGGUGGUGGUUUAGUGGCUUCUGUAAUAGUCUGUAUAAUAGUCUUCUGGUGAAGCUGAAAUAAAAGGAUAAACAGGGGGAAAAUAUAUAUAUAUAUA